UAAAAAGCCAGCUCUCUCUAUAUUUUUGCUUUCCGCUGCUUCCUCCUAGAACUGGCUGAGGCAGCUUUAGGCUUUUCCAGCUUUUUGGCAGAUGGGUCAGAGACUGACCCUCUCCUCUCACACAAACUGCUGUGGAGCUUCUCCUGAGGGUCCCCAGAGGCCCCACACCACUCAGCAGCCCAAAAUAGCCACCUUCUAUUUCAGUAUUCUCCUUUUCCCAUUUCAGUAUUCUCCUUUUCCCAUUUCAGUAUUCUCCUUUUUCCCACAUCUGGUCUGGUUGGGGAUAAUAGAGUCAGGAAUGGGCACGGGACGCUUAAAAACUUUUGUUAGAAUAGGAAUAUCAUGGAGACACGGUCCCUCUUAAACAUCUUCAUAGCUGGGAUGGUUACUAAAAGUUUGACAGUAUGUUCUAGCUGGUUUAAUCUCAUCCUCCGUCUGCCUGUGUCCAUCUGCCUCCCCAGUCCUCCACAAGGACUGGGAGCUCUUGGGAGCAGAAGGUGCCUUUUUGUUCCAUGCUCGUGCUGUGCCCGGUUUAGGGGGGUCCUCGUGCAUCAGCGCCGUUCCAAAUAAUGUGCAAAAUAAUGAAUCAUCAGUUAAAUAAUGCUGAGCCAAGUUCAUGACAGUGAGACAAGACUUCCUCUGUGACAAGUGUCUCCCCCUGGAAUAUUUUCGUCAGACUCAGCUGUGUGCUGAAGAGUUUAACAAAGAGUGGUCGUGGUGGUGUUUUGAGGAUACAGUGGGAGUCCAUGGAGCUGCCUUCAGAGCUGAAUGAGCUGAAGGGAGGUCUUGGCCAUGACUCUGGAGCAGAUGCAGUAGGGAUCCACCGGCUGAUCUGAGACGUUCCUCAGUGCAGUGUGAAUACUUUUGUGCUGUGAACUCAGCGUGGGUCUGACGAGAGCUGUAGCCAAAACCAGCUAAUCAGAGGAGCACCAAUAGAGCCAAUUACCGCUCAGGCCGUGCUUUCAGCCACUCAUGCAUGUGCCACAGUUAUUCAUUCACUUCCUCUGCUUAGAUAGUCUUGUAGACUUGUGGUUUUCUCAGGCAGGAGCUCUUCCUUUUCUUCCACACAUCUUUACAGAUAUUUAAACCAAAGGUUUCUCCCUCCGGGCUGUGUCAUUUUCUUUGCUGUUUCUGUGGCGAUGCGGGUGAUUUAAGCCUUUUAAUAAAAUAUAACUCUGCUCUG